GAUGAACGCUGGCGGCGUGCCUAAUACAUGCAAGUCGAGCGAACGGACGAGAAGCUUGCUUCUCUGAUGUUAGCGGCGGACGGGUGAGUAACACGUGGAUACCUACCUAUAAGACUGGGAUAACUUCGGGAAACCGGAGCUAAUACCGGAUAAUAUUUUGAACUGCAUGGUUCAAAAGUGAAAGACGGUCUUGCUGUCACUUAUAGAUGGAUCCGCGCUGCAUUAGCUAGUUGGUAAGGUAACGGCUUACCAAGGCAACGAUGCAUAGCCGACCUGAGAGGGUGAUCGGCCACACUGGAACUGAGACACGGUCCAGACUCCUACGGGAGGCAGCAGUAGGGAAUCUUCCGCAAUGGGCGAAAGCCUGACGGAGCAACGCCGCGUGAGUGAUGAAGGUCUUCGGAUCGUAAAACUCUGUUAUUAGGGAAGAACAUAUGUGUAAGUAACUGUGCACAUCUUGACGGUACCUAAUCAGAAAGCCACGGCUAACUACGUG
rnacentral:rRNA from 1 species